rnacentral:rRNA from 1 species
AUUGAACGCUGGCGGCAGGCCUAACACAUGCAAGUCGAACGAGUGGCGGACGGGUGAGUAAUGUCUGGGAAACUGCCUGAUGGAGGGGGAUAACUACUGGAAACGGUAGCUAAUACCGCAUACCAUCAGAUGUGCCCAUAUGGGAUUAGCUUGUUGGUGGGGUAACGGCUCACCAAGGCGACGAUCCCUAGCUGGUCUGAGCGGAUGACCAGCCACACUGGAACUGAGACACGGUCCAGACUCCUACGGGAGGCAGCAGUGGGGAAGAUUGGACAAUGGGCGAAAGCCUGAUCCAGCCAUACCGCGUGUGUGAAGAAGGUCUUCGGAUUGUAAAGCACUUUAAGUUGGGAGGCGUUACCAACAGAAUAAGCACCGGCUAACUUCGUGCCAGCAGCCGCGGUAAUAC